rnacentral:rRNA from 1 species
AGCGAACGCUGGCGGCAGGCCUAACACAUGCAAGUCGAGCGCCCCGCAAGGGGAGCGGCAGACGGGAGAGUAACACGUGGGAACGUACCCUUCAGUUCGGAACAACCAAGGGAAACUUUGGCUAAUACCGAAUACGUCCGUAAGGAGAAAGAUUUAUCGCUGAAGGAUCGGCCCGCGUCUGAUUAGCUAGUUGGUGGGGUAAUGGCCCACCAAGGCGACGAUCAGCAGCUGGGCUGAGAGGAUGAUCAGCCUCACUGGGACUGAGACACGGCCCAGACUCCUACGGGAGGCAGCAGUGGGGAAUAUUGGACAAUGGGCGCAAGCCUGAUCCAGCCAUGCCGCGUGGAUGAUGAAGGCCCUAGGGUUGUAAAGUCCUUUCGGCGGGGAAGAUAAUGACGGUACCCGCAGAAGAAGCCCCGGCUAACUUCGUGCCAGCCGCCGCUGUAACAC